rnacentral:rRNA from 1 species
AUGCAUGUCUCAGUACAAGCCAAAUUAAGGUGAAACCGCGAAAGGCUCAUUAAAUCAGUUAUGGUUCCUUAGAUCGUACCCACAUUUACUUGGAUAACUGUGGUAAUUCUAGAGCUAAUACAUGCAAACAGAGCUCCGACCGGAGACGGAAGGAGCGCUUUUAUUAGAUCAAAACCAAUCGGUGGCGGGUUCGCUCGUCAUCGUACAUUUUGGUGACUCUGAAUAACUUUUUGCUGAUCGCACGGUCUAGCACCGGCGACGCAUCUUUCAAAUGUCUGCCUUAUCAACUGUCGAUGGUAGGUUCUGCGCCUACCAUGGUUGUAACGGGUAACGGGGAAUCAGGGUUCGAUUCCGGAGAGGGAGCCUGAGAAACGGCUACCACAUCCAAGGAAGGCAGCAGGCGCGCAAAUUACCCACUCCCGGCACGGGGAGGUAGUGACGAAAAAUAACGAUACGGGACUCAUCCGAGGCCCCGUAAUCGGAAUGAGUACACUCUAAACCCUUUAACGAGGAUCAAUUGGAGGGCAAGUCUGGUGCCAGCAGCCGCGGUAAUUCCAGCUCCAAUAGCGUAUAUUAAAGUUGUUGCGGUUAAAAAGCUCGUAGUCGAAUCUGUGUCCCGCGCCGUCGGUUCAUCGCUCGCGGUGUUUAACUGACGUGUCGUGGGACGUCCUGCCGGUGGGCUUAGCUCGUUCGCGGGCGGCCCAACUUGAAAUCCCACCGCGGUGCUCUUCAUUGAGUGUCGAGGUGGGCCGGCACGUUUACUUUGAACAAAUUAGAGUGCUUAAAGCAGGCUAAAAUUUCGCCUGAAUAUUCUGUGCAUGGAAUAAUGGAAUAGGACCUCGGUUCUAUUUUGUUGGUUUUCGGAACCCCGAGGUAAUGAUUAAUAGGAACGGAUGGGGGCAUUCGUAUUGCGACGUUAGAGGUGAAAUUCUUGGAUCGUCGCAAGACGGACAGAAGCGAAAGCAUUUGCCAAAAACGCUUUCAUUGAUCAAGAACGAAAGUUAGAGGUUCGAAGGCGAUCAGAUACCGCCCUAGUUCUAACCAUAAACGAUGCCAGCUAGCGAUCCGCCGACGUUCCUCCGAUGACUCGGCGGGCAGCUUCCGGGAAACCAAAGCUUUUGGGUUCCGGGGGAAGUAUGGUUGCAAAGCUGAAACUUAAAGGAAUUGACGGAAGGGCACCACCAGGAGUGGAGCCUGCGGCUUAAUUUGACUCAACACGGGAAACCUCACCAGGCCCGGACACCGGAAGGAUUGACAGAUUGAGAGCUCUUUCUUGAUUCGGUGGGUGGUGGUGCAUGGCCGUUCUUAGUUGGUGGAGCGAUUUGUCUGGUUAAUUCCGAUAACGAACGAGACUCUAGCCUGCUAACUAGGCGUAUUUUCGACAUCCUAAAGGCCCGCCGGCCCGGCGCUCGCGUCGCGGUCGUGCGCGGUUUUUACUGUCGGCGUACAAACAAUUCUUCUUAGAGGGACAGGCGGCUUCUAGCCGCACGAGAUUGAGCAAUAACAGGUCUGUGAUGCCCUUAGAUGUUCUGGGCCGCACGCGCGCUACACUGAAGGAAUCAGCGUGUCCUCCCUGGCCGAGAGGCCCGGGUAACCCGCUGAACCUCCUUCGUGCUAGGGAUUGGGGCUUGCAAUUGUUCCCCAUGAACGAGGAAUUCCCAGUAAGCGCGAGUCAUAAGCUCGCGUUGAUUACGUCCCUGCCCUUUGUACACACCGCCCGUCGCUACUACCGAUUGAAUGAUUUAGUGAGGUCUUCGGACCGG